rnacentral:lncRNA from 1 species
GCCCGCGCGCCCGCGCGGCGGAGGAGAUCCCUUCGUCGCCGCGGCUCUCGUCCGGGACACGGCUUUCCGGAGUAGAGCCCUUGGAGGUGUUAAGUGUGAUGCUUCCAUAAUACAUUUGGAUGCUGUCAGCUAAGUUCACUUCUGAACUAAGGGGUUCCUCCAAAUGUUGGCUGAAAUUCAUCCCAAGGCUGGUCUGCAGUUACCUAUUUCUUUUAAGAAUAAAUUUAGUGGGAAUAUCAGUUCCAGUCAUGGGUACCAAACUUUUUUAGUGACAGAGUACACACAGAGUCUGCAAUUCAUAAUGGAGCUACUGUACUGGCUAUUGGAAGGAGGAGAUUCUGAAGAUAAGGAGAUGUUACAGUGGCAGUUGCACUGACUGUUAAGUGUUUAAAUGAUGACACCAUUAUGUGAAGUGAUUUUGAAAUGAGAGAUUCCAGCCAGUCCAUCAAGGUGUCUGAAGAUUUUAUGCCUAGGUAUCUCCAUAUCUAACUUGAUAAGGAAAAUAGGAUAAACAAUGCUGGUAAUAGCAGGAAAGUAAGUAUUUGAAUAAGAUGUCAAACUGAUAUUUCAUGUGAACCUAACUCAUUUUAUGGUAACUAAUGGUAAAACCUGUUUAGAAAUUAAAAAUGAGUUACGAUUUAAAGAAAAUUCAGAUGACUCAUUGUGAGUGCUAGUUCUCUUGUAGGAUGCCACUGGAAAUGUUGAAAUGAAAAAGAUUCAGCCGUUGGUCUUUGAAAUUUCCUGUGAUGUGUUUCAAUCUAGAUGCAAAGAACAUGGAAAAAUCAAAGUGCUCGAGUGGUUUAAAUAUGUUUUGGGUAUUCCUGUUUAUAGACUAUAAUACUUUUCCAAUUAAAAUCCUCAGUUGUCACGCAGAAGAAGGUUAAGCUGUAUUUGAUUGCCAGUUUUACUGAAAAUGCUUAGUAUUUUACAGUAUCACCAAAUAUAUUUUGUUUAGCCAAGGUAUAGGAAAAAUAAAAUAAAUUGUAUAGGUUGACUUUUUUCUAAAAUGUCUUUAUUGGAUUGAAUGAAUGUUUAUAC